rnacentral:rRNA from 1 species
CCUACGGGUGGCAGCAGUGAGGAAUAUUGGUCAAUGGCCAGAAGGCUGAACCAGACAUGCCGCGUGAAGGUCAGUGCCCUAUGGGCGUUAAACUUCUUUUGUGCGGGAGCAAUAAUGGUCACGUGUGGCCAGACGAGAGUACUGUACGAAUAAGCAUCGGCUAACUCCGUGCCAGCAGCAGCGGUAAUACGGGGGAUGCAAGCGUUAUCCGGAUUUAUUGUGUUUAAAGGGUGCGUAGGCUGUGAGGUAAGUCAGCGGUGAAGUGCCCCCUCUCAACGGGGUGAAGUGCCAUUGAUACUGCCUUGCUGGAAUGCGGAUGCCGUGGGAGGAAUGGGUGGUGUAGCGGUGAAAUGCAUAGAUAUCACACAGAACACCGAUUGCGAAGGCAUCUCACGAAUCCGCGAUUGACGCUGAUGCACGAAAGCGUGGGUAUCAAACAGGAUUAGAUACCCUUGUAGUC